ensembl:lncRNA
GGCUACCACUCCACAGCUCAGUAGGCAGUACGCAUGUGGCUGAUAGGUGCAUGCUAUUCAGAACUCCCACAGGGCGCAGCCCUCCUCUGAUGUAAUGUCACUGAGCCAUUUGGCAGAGUCAGAACUAUGCAACUAUUUUUGUGACUGAUCCUGAGUCUGUGACUACUACAAAAUAAAGGAAAUACCUCAUUGGGUUUCAUGGGUUAUUUACCCAAAGAUACAUCUUAAUUAUUUUGUUUUGAAACAUUUAAGAGAAGUCUUUAUUUUUCUAUUUUGAAAGGCCAACCACUGAGGGUGGGGGAAUGGGGAUGAGAUUUCUUAUUCUCCUUAAGUAUACUGAGGGGGGGGAAAGAUCUGAACUUAAGAGUUGAGUUCAGUUCCUCAGUCGUGUCCGACUCUCUGCGACCCCAAGGACUGCAGCACGCCAGGCCUCCCUGUACCUCACCAACUCCCGCAGUUUACUCAAACUGAUGUUCAUUGAGAUCCUAUCCAGCAUUCCACCUUGCAUUUAGUCAGCUUGUCUUAGACUCCUCUGCACUGUGACACCUUCUCAGUGUUCUUUAUUUUGAUGACCUCGAUGACCUCGACAUCUUUGAAAAGUACUGGUCAGUAACGGCGUUAUAGUCAGUUACCUGAUGAAUAGACGUGAUGUUUGCCACUUCUGGAUGAAGCCUUUCGAAGAAUAAGAAUUCUUCCUCCAUUCUCUGUUCGACUGGCUGGAUGCAGAUGAUAAGAAGGCCACAGAGAAGCCACAGGAUGGAAGGAACUUUGGUUCCUGAAUCAGUGCAUGUAGAAAAGCUGCCUGCUGACCUGAACAGCUGUUCUGAACUGUUAUAUAAACAAGAAAUAAACUUCUGUUGUAUUUAAGCC